GAACUCAACGGUGCGUUGCAGUGUACCUGACUGAUGUCACUGUCAUUGUUUGCACACCGUAUGCUGCAGUCUGCCAGUACUGUGGGAACUACGUGGGUUGUCAAGCAAGCCCAAGCAAGGAGACACACGGCUAAUGAAAUCUAUGAAGACAGACAGCAAGGAGUGCCAGAUGAAUAGUGUGAAGGCCCUGACAUGCGGGUUCGCGCCCCAGUUUUGGCGAGGGAGGGGGGUGGGCCGCCGAGGAUGAAGGAGAGGACAGGCCCGGUCUCUGUGUGCAGGUGCCCUCUCGCUGGCCCGCCCGCCCUCCACCAAUCAGAGCGCGGAGGGGGGGCGGGGGCACAGCGGGACCACAUCAAAGCACGCUCUCUCUCUCUCUUUCGGAGAGAAGCUCAACACUAAUGCUGCCACAACAGAGAGGGGAGAGAGGAGAAGAAAGCUGAGUGAGAUGAGGACUAAAAAAAAGGAAGAAAGAAAAGGAAAAAAAAACCCUUUUCCAAACUGACUGGUUCUCACAGGAGAAGAGUGCUACCAGAACAAACCCCCUCAUUCUCCUCACGGGCCAACACUUUGCCAACCUCACACACAACACCCAGAGAUGAGAUUUUCCCUGCUCCAGCCAAAAGCUCCCCCCUCGCCCCAGUCGACAUGAACAAGAGAGGAUAAUUCAAUAAAGAAAAUCCAAUCUUC